UCGGGCACAGCCCCCUGCUGCCUCCCUCCUCAUCCUGCACCGCAGACCUGUGCUGCCCUGUGCCACCGGGACUAAAGGGACAGGGCACAGCCAGGGCUGUACUGGGACAAGGACAGCAGGCUGCAGGCUGUGAGGCAGGAAAAGGCUGGAGAUGCUGGGGCUUGAACCCAGGGCCUCUUACAUGCGAAGCAAGCGCUCUCCCACUGAGCUACAUCCCCUAGACAGUGCCCACCAGGGUCCUACCUGCUGCACUGGCAGCGGCUGAGCCUGGCCACAGGCGGCUGUGCUGCCCCACAAAGCCUCCAGCCCCAGCAUGGGGUGCCGCUUGCAGGCUACUGGGGGAUGCCAGGGCCCCCCUGCUCCUGCAGCACUGCCUGGGGGGACAAGGGCCCAGAGCCAGCCCCCCUGCGUCUGCCCCCUGCCCGCAGCAGCUGGGCUCGUCCCAAAAGGGGGGCUCGUCCGGGAGUUGAACCCGGGACCUCUCGCACCCGAAGCGAGAAUCAUACCCCUAGACCAACGAGCCGCGCUCAUGGGGCCCUCUGCACCCUCUGCCCUCGUGCCCCACAGCUCUCACUCCUGCUGGGGCAGCUCCAGCUCCACCAUUUGCCCCACUGCUGCUGCCACGCACAGGGCCACCCGUGCUUGGUGCCCUGUGACAGCCCCAGGCCCUGCAGCCCCCAAGGGCUGCCCUGUCCUGCCUGGGGAGGAAAAGGCUGGAGAUGCUGGGGCUUGAACCCAGGGCCUCUUGCAUGCAAAGCAAGCGCUCUACCGCUGAGCUACAUCCCCACACUCAUGGGGGCCUUUCUGGGGGUUCUGCUUUUAACAAAGCCUUCCUCCUGCCUCCUCCUCAGCCCACACCACUCCCCAACACAUCAGCACACCUCCCCUGCUCUUCCACAACACACCUGCCUCACAAAUCACACCUGCAGCACCACACACUCACCCCUGCCUACUCAACAUGCCCUCAACAGCCCUCCUCCCCCUGGACACGCACCCACCCCAAAACCAAACGCUCUCCCCUCACAGCGGACACUGCCCUGGCCCUGCUCCCCAGUGCAAUCCCAGUUCGUCCCCCCAUGCUCUCUGGGCCAGGGAUCCAGAAAAGA
rnacentral:tRNA from 1 species